CUCAGGGCAAGGUUACCAUCUUAUUCUUGAUCCAUAUCAAUUUCAGUGAACUUUUUGAACUUCCUUGAGACUUCACUUCCCUAUCUGUAAACCAGAACAAGCAAUGAUAAUGGCUACCUGAUAACUUUGUUAUGAAAAUCAAACUAUAAAAGUGAAAGUAUUCAUAAAAUCUUAGGCUUUCUGGUUCAUAAAGAGAAAACAACAGCAAUAUAUAAGAAUAGCACCAGUUUUACUAGGUUCUAUUAGCUAUUGAAAUGGUGUUGUUAUUACUUGUCUUUCAGAAAAAAAAAGAAUUUCCGUACCUAGCAGACCUAUUUGACAUCACUUCAGGAUUCUGUCACUGGAAAUUGCUAUUUCACAAUUGAGGUGGGAGCUCUUGACAAUAUAAAAAUAUCUAAGUAGCUGGGAAGAUACUAGAAGGUCAUUUAUUUUACCUGUAUCUGACAGCCCUCCGCCACUUCAGCACUAUGAGAACAACAUCCUUUAUCCUACUCCUGGUUGUGGCACUUGCAACCAUAUUCAGUGAGUAUCUCUCAUAACACUACCCUUGCCCUGAGAAAACAGCUCCUCCAUCUCUGCCUACAUAAUAUUAGA
rnacentral:lncRNA from 1 species